CCUACGGGGGGCAGCAGUGGGGAAUAUUGCACAAUGGGCGCAAGCCUGAUGCAGCCAUGCCGCGUGUGUGAAGAAGGCCUUCGGGUUGUAAAGCACUUUCAGCGGGGAGGAAGGCGUUAAGGUUAAUAACCUUGUCGAUUGACGUUACCCGCAGAAGAAGCACCGGCUAACUCCGUGCCAGCAGCCGCGGUAAUACGGAGGGUGCAAGCGUUAAUCGGAACUACUGGGCGUAAAGCGCACGCAGGCGGUCUGUCAAGUCGGAUGUGAAAUCCCCGGGCUCAACCUGGGAACUGCAUUCGAAACUGGCAGGCUAGAGUCUUGUAGAGGGGGGUAGAAUUCCAGGUGUAGCGGUGAAAUGCGUAGAGAUCUGGAGGAAUACCGGUGGCGAAGGCGGCCCCCUGGACAAAGACUGACGCUCAGGUGCGAAAGCGUGGGGAGCAAACAGGAUUAGAUACCCCUGUAGUC
rnacentral:rRNA from 1 species